AUCUUCGACACUUCGUUUUCCCGGAAUUUGUGAGGAGUGAGGAAUCGAAUCGAGCUGGGAAUCGCCGCCUAUAACCCUAAAUUAGUUUGAUGCAGAAAAUCAGAAAUUAAAACUCAAAAAAAACCUCAGAGAGUAGUCGAGUACUGGGAUGAAAUCAUGAGAAUGAGAUGAGACUUACAAAACUUACAAAAGUAGUGAAGUUAACCGGUGAAGAUGAGAUGAGACUCGAGCUCGAAUGUCGACUGGUCGUAACUCGAUUCGCAGACUGAUAUCCUAGAGUCGCAGUCGAUUCUCGUCUUCUUCUUCUCGUUCUCAAUGAUAUCUCCUAAGCAAUAAGCACU
rnacentral:lncRNA from 1 species